CAUGCCUUACACAUGCAAGUCGAACGGCAGCGGGGGAGAAGCUUGCUUUUCCUGCCGGCGAGUGGCGAACGGGUGAGUAAUAUAUCGGAACGUGCCCAGUCGUGGGGGAUAACUGCUCGAAAGAGCAGCUAAUACCGCAUACGACCUGAGGGUGAAAGCGGGGGAUCGCAAGACCUCGCGCGACUGGAGCGGCCGAUAUCAGAUUAGGUAGUUGGUGGGGUAAAGGCCUACCAAGCCUACGAUCUGUAGCUGGUCUGAGAGGACGACCAGCCACACUGGGACUGAGACACGGCCCAGACUCCUACGGGAGGCAGCAGUGGGGAAUUUUGGACAAUGGACGCAAGUCUGAUCCAGCCAUGCCGCGUGCGGGAAGAAGGCCUUCGGGUUGUAAACCGCUUUUGUCAGGGAAGAAAAGGUUCUGGUUAAUACCUGGGACUCAUGACGGUACCUGAAGAAUAAGCACCGGCUAACUACGUGCCAGCAGCCGCCGUAA
rnacentral:rRNA from 1 species